rnacentral:lncRNA from 1 species
UUCAUAUGCUCUAAGUUUAGUAUGUAUGUUAAUCGAGACAGUUUUCGAAUUGUUAAUUUUCAUUUUUUUGUGGAUGUCGUACCCAGUGGCGUAUCUAGGAUUCCCCGGCAGGGGGGGCAAGAUUCGCCGAAGGCGAAAAAUUUUUUUUUGCCGAAGAUCUCUCCUAUAUAUAUGUCAAGAUAUUAAAAUAGUGUAGUAGAACUUAAAAUUAAUUCAAGCUCACCGAAUAAAGCUCCAACAAUUUUAGUCUCGUUCAUCCGUAGUGUGUUUAACAAAUCGAAUCAAGUAAAGCUAAGCUCGGACUCAGCUCGCCAAGUGAGAAUAAGAUUUAGCUCGAAUCCUAUUUUGCAAAACUAAAGAUCGAAGCUUGAUAAACUAACUUACAAUAUAACAUCAAAAAUCAAUAUUAAACAAUAAUUUUAGAAUACCAAAGAUCAGUGGCGUAUCCAGUUUUUGAAGGACCCAUCAACUGUUUGGGGGUAUGUUAUUGAUCUUGGACUCCUUGUGUACUAGAAACAACUUAUAUAGAAAGCAACGGAGGGAGAAAUCGUGAGGUGGAUGGGUCAUGCGAGUUGGGAGGAGGAGAGAUUGGGGAAGAAAUUGAAGGAGGAGGAGGAGAAAUCGAUAGUUUUGGGGAAGAAGAUUG